rnacentral:rRNA from 1 species
UACGAAGGGGGCUAGCGUUGCUCGGAAUCACUGGGCGUAAAGCGCACGUAGGCGGAUUCUUAAGUCGGUGGUGAAAUCCUGGAGCUCAACUCCAGAACUGCCUUUGAUACUGGGAAGCUUGAGUCCGGAAGAGGUGAGUGGAACUCCGAGUGUAGAGGUGAAAUUCGUAGAUAUUCGGAAGAACACCAGUGGCGAAGGCGGCUCACUGGUCCGGUACUGACGCUGAGGUGCGAAAGCGUGGGGAGCAAACAGG